rnacentral:rRNA from 1 species
UAGGGAAUCUUCCGCAAUGGGCGAAAGCCUGACGGAGCAACGCCGCGUGAGUGAUGAAGGUCUUCGGAUCGUAAAACUCUGUUAUUAGGGAAGAACAAAUGUGUAAGUAACUAUGCACGUCUUGACGGUACCUAAUCAGAAAGCCACGGCUAACUACGUGCCAGCAGUCGCGGUAAUACGUAGGUGGCAAGCGUUAUCCGGAAUUAUUGGGCGUAAAGCGCGCGUAGGCGGUUUUUUAAGUCUGAUGUGAAAGCCCACGGCUCAACCGUGGAGGGUCAUUGGAAACUGGAAAACUUGAGUGCAGAAGAGGAAAGUGGAAUUCCAUGUGUAGCGGUGAAAUGCGCAGAGAUAUGGAGGAACACCAGUGGCGAAGGCGACUUUCUGGUCUGUAACUGACGCUGGUGUGCGAAAGCGUGGGGAUCAAACAGG